AUUUAUCGGAGAGUUUGAUCCUGGCUCAGGACGAACGCUGGCGGCGUGCCUAAUACAUGCAAGUCGAGCGGACAGAUGGGAGCUUGCUCCCUGAUGUUAGCGGCGGACGGGUGAGUAACACGUGGGUAACCUGCCUGUAAGACUGGGAUAACUCCGGGAAACCGGGGCUAAUACCGGAUGGUUGUUUGAAUCGCAUGGUUCAAACAUAAAAGGUGGCUUCGGCUACCACUUACAGAUGGACCCGCGGCGCAUUAGCUAGUUGGUGAGGUAACGGCUCACCAAGGCGACGAUGCGUAGCCGACCUGAGAGGGUGAUCGGCCACACUGGGACUGAGACACGGCCCAGACUCCUACGGGAGGCAGCAGUAGGGAAUCUUCCGCAAUGGACGAAAGUCUGACGGAGCAACGCCGCGUGAGUGAUGAAGGUUUUCGGAUCGUAAAGCUCUGUUGUCAGGGAAGAACAAGUACCGUUCGAAUAGGGCGG
rnacentral:rRNA from 1 species